rnacentral:misc_RNA from 1 species
UAUAGGUGGGUGUGUGUCACUUCUUGUAUAUCCACCUGACACGCAGCCUUGACACAAUCAGUACUCGCUCUUUACCGACAGCAAAAAAUGGGUGAUAUGCUCGCGAAGCCGGAGACUCAGAAAUUCUCGACUGUGUUCGAGACGUCACACCUGCGAGUGGGGUGCUGCAGUAUGCAGGGGUGGAGAAAGUCUAUGGAAGACGCUCAUGUAGCGCAGCUGAAUCUAAAUGGUAACAAGGACCAGGCUUUCUUCGGCGUUUUUGACGGCCAUCAAUCAGAUGAGGCGUCACGCUACUGUAGGGCACACAUGCUAGAUGAGUUGCUCAAGAAUAUUGCUAUAUACAAGGAUGACGUCGCGAAGGCGUUUGAGGUUUCUUUCCAAGAAGUGGACAAGCAAAUUUGCAAGAAGUUUGUGUCCAGCGGCACCACGGCAAACUGUGUUUAUUUGUCCAAUCAGCAAAUCGUUUGCGCAAACGCUGGUGAUAGCCGCGCCGUGCUAUAUCGCGGUGGCAAGGCUGUUCCCCUCAGUGUAGACCACAAGCCUUCGGUCCCUGACGAGGAGGCGAGAAUCGUUGCUGCUGGGUGCCAUGUAGAAAAUGGUCGGGUCAACAUGACGCUGGCUGUCAGUCGGGCCUUGGGCGAUGUCGACUUCAAAUCUUGCGCUGCGAAGAGUUGGGUGGAUCAGGCCGUCACUGCCUGUCCCGAUAUCACGGUAACACCGUCACGAAGUGACGAUGAGUUCAUAGUAAUCGGAUGCGAUGGCAUAUGGGAUGUGCUGUCCAAUGAAGAAUGCUGCGAACUUGUGAAAACAUUGAUUCAAAACAAUGACAUUGACAAGAACGGGCACCCUGUUGCCGUAGACAUUAGCCUUGUCUGUGAGCAGGUUCUUGAUCGCUGCCUCGCCCAAUCGAACUCGGUGAAGGCCGGUACCGACAACAUGACUAUCAUCGUGGUCGAAUUCAAGCCGCCAUUUUUCAAGUGCUAAAUCAUAUUGUUCUGCUUGGCUGAACACCUUUUUUAACUGUUCGUUGCCUUUGGUGUUUCGCUGUUGUGUCGUUCUGUGCGAAAUCGCUAAUUACGUUUCCCUGUUUUGAUUUCAUUGCUUGGCUUGAAGGCUUGAAGAUAUGAAGCUCUGUUGUUCGUCGACCACUUUAUAUAUACAUGUUUUCAUGCACCAGCUCAGCACAGCGAGUGCUCUCUAUAUACUGGCCCUAUGUUCUGUGAGUGUGGGCUUUCCCCCUUUCUUGUUCUCAUGUUAUAUCACCGGCUUUUUCCUCCAUGGGAGUACAAGUAGAGAGUUGAGUUGAUAGGAGGCAGCGCGCAUCACCAUUUUAUCACGACAAUGCGAUUUGAGACUUUUGCUUCACGUUGCAAGGGAUUUGAAGAAAGAGGUCUGUGUAUUCCGAUUCCCUUUGUCGUUGAUGUGCGAGGUUUCGUGUCGUCCGAAAUGCUCGCGAGCUGCCGGAGUUUGUAGUAAUCAAGCUGUUUUGCUUUACAUG